UUGGGAGGCUGCCCUUUUUAAAACAAAGUCAUUUUUUUUCCUUUCAGAAGUUGAAAGCAGUUGACCACCAGAUGGGAUGUUGUAGCUAUGAAGUAAUGAUGUCGAAAUAUGUUCCUGUUGAGCACGAGUCGUCUGGAGGGGAAGACCAGCUUGAUUUUGGUUAAUGGGAUGAAUAGAAGAUCUCUCAGAAUAUGAUUACACCCGAUUAAAUUAAGAGAAUUUCCCAUGUCAGGGCAGAAAACAUCAUACAACAGUCUGGCUAAUUGGAGAGCACAUGGACUUUACUGAAACGUUACAGUUCAGGGAAGGAUUCAAUCACACAAUGUCAAUACAAUCUGAGAACUAGAUCUUCAGUCUGACGUGAAACUUGGAACUACACUUGCACAAUGAUGGACCUUGAUAGAUUCCUGCAUGAUAAUAGGUCCAGGAGACAGGAAUCAGCCUUGUUACACUGCUGGAGUUGUACUGGAGCAGUCAGGUUUUGAAGAGAUCUUCCUUCUUGUGUCUCUGAAAAGCAUGUUCGGUUUGCAGGAGCACAAGUUUGCAAUGGAGAAGAAGAUGCCAUAAUCUACACUGGUCUGAUUGUUUACAAUAGCUUUGUCUUACCUUGGAUUGGAAAAAAAAGUGCUUGGGUCUUGCAAGAAAGAAUAUGAUUAUUUGCAAGUAGCCUGAAUCAGCUUCAUUUUUUAAAUUAUUGGCAGGCCC